rnacentral:lncRNA from 1 species
CCAAUUGUGUCGUCGAUAUUGCUGAUCCAGUCCUCGGAUAGGGGAAUCCUGGUCGAGGUUCAUCCGCUGAGGGUGAGGGCGAAUCUGUGAUGCACAACCAAAUGCUGAUCAUUUUGAUACGCAGUAUGUAGCUCAGCAACCGUACACUGUUUCGUAACCAGAUCGCAGAGCAAAUCUGUGGCGAUCUUCGAGCAAAUCUGUGGCGAUCUUCGAGUAUGCAUGGCGCAUCCCUGAUUGAUAAAUCGGUCAAGGACAUCGACACGCGUCGAGAAGCAACAACGGCCAAUUAUUGGGCAAGAUUGGGCAAGAUGAGGACGAGGGGUGCCGAUUAGGCCAGGCCCAACCUAAACCCAAUCAUCAGCCAAAUCCAAAUGUACCAAACCGGAGCUAAACGCAUUUCGACAGGAGGAAUCAACGCGACAACGGAGGAGCAUCAAAUUGGCAGCAACAUGUCUGAGAUCCAAUUUCAUCAGGAGUAGCAGUACAAAGUUCGCAACAACUUUUCGCGGAUCUGGCAUUUCAGCCCAGACCGGAAAUGAUUUGGGAACAACGCGCUCCAGAUCGGGGAGGCGGCGAAGGGAGGUCACUUUUAAAACCAGAUCCCCCUCCCUUUGCUCUCUUGCCUUCUCCUCCUCGGCAACAACAACAAUGGGGGAACGAAUCCCCAAUCCAAAGAAGAAAAAGAAAAAAAAAGGUCGCGACAGGCAUAUCAUAUACACAUGUAGGCGCACACGGACGGAGCGCCAGAUCUACGGCGAUGUCGGCGGGUCGCUCUCGUCGUCGUCUCCACGGCCUUAGGCGGAGGAGCGGGCGAGGCGGGAUGCGAUGGCGGAGUGGUACAUGGCGUCGUGGAAGGACUCCGUCUGCGCCAUCCGCGCGCGCAGCUCCCGGGCCUUCUCCUCCGUCAGGCCCCCCACGAACGCCCUCCCCGGGGUGGCCGCCGACGCCGCCUCCUUCGCCGCGGGGGCCGGAGCCUCGAUGUAGUCGGCCUUCCCGGACCACCCCAGCAGGGGCGCCCACCACUUGCCGCCGCCCUCCCCGCCACCCGCCGCGGCGCGGGCCACCCCGGCGCCCGCGCUGGCGGCGCGCGGCCGGGCGGAGGAUGCCCCCGCCGGGCGGGCGGGGAAGGAGACGGAGGCGGCGGUUGCGCACGGUGCCAUCGCCAUUUCGGAUCGGUCGGUCGGGCUGUUGCUUGCUUUGGAAUUUGGUGGGUGGGUGCGAGGUGAGGAUGCUGCUGAAGCCUGGGAAAGAAAGAUGAAUGCUGAUGGUGAUGGAGGUGAAGGCCGUAGGGGUGGCGGGGCGUUUAUAGCGGCCGGAUAGGGGAGGGAGGGAUGGGAUGGGCGAGUGGAUAAGACCGCCGCGUGGAUACGUGCGCGGCAUCCUGGUACGGUGUUACAGGCUGUCCAGCAACGGUGGCCCGUCAUGUCACUGACGCGUGGGUCAGGUUGCGGGCUCCGGCUACGGCGUUGGUGUCUUUUUUUUUCUUUCUUUUCGCCGUGACGGUCAUGCCGUUGGGGGCGGUUAACGUUGUUGCGAAGGUAGGGCGAACACGCAAUGUCGUCUUAAUUUAGGUUUUUCUAGAAGAGAUGCUCACGGGGAAAGAGCAACUCCAACAAUAGUUCUUAUAUUGAUUUAAGCCCUAAAGAUUAAAUGGAGAUUCUUUCUAUUUUUUAAAUAGUUCUUAUAUUGAUUUAAGCCCUGAAGAUUAAAUGGAGAUUCUUUCUAUUUUUUAAGAGCCACAAAAAUACUUCCAAAUCAAGCAAUAGCCCUCAUAAAUAGAGGGCUCCCUAGUGACCCCUCAGGAAUGAAACGUGGAGGGGGAAUUUGAAAGCCUCACUAAAAUAGGGAGAUAAGUAGAGAGCUUGUUGGAAUGCAUUUUUUUUACUUGGCCCUCUAAAACUUAGGAUAGGGGGUUGUUUAGAGGAUGUGCUGGAAUUGCUCUAACAAUUUUUGGCAUCAUGAUGAUCUCUAUCUCAUGUUCGAUUCUGAACGAGAUAAAGAUCGAACUAUUUGUUUUGACUUUUCUAGAUACAUACCUUUUGAUAUACAUCUAAAUAUAUAUUAUGUCUAUAUAUAUAGCAAAAGUUAUAUACCUAGAAAAGCUAAAAUAGUAAUUUGUGACGGAGGGAGUAAUUUCUAAGAAUUUGUGUAUGACAUGGAAAAUUUCAAUUCCAUCCAUAUCAUAAUGAUAACAAUUUUUCAAGAUGCCUAAAAAAUGACCAUUGUCAAGUCUUACUGUUGUUAAAGAAUAAAUGCCAGCCACCUAUAUUGUACUCCAUAUUGGCAUAUUCAACUCAAGUAGAUGCCUCUGUCUACGGAGUACAUUUGCAUUUUCAACUCAAGUAGAUGCUUCUAUCUACAUCGUGUGAUUACCGCUUCUCGUUUGUUGACCAAAUUAGGUUUGGCAUCUUUGGUAGAACUUCGGCUCCUUCGAAAAAGACUCCGAUUGCGGUUCCUCUGAUGAAGUUGCUUCUCUAGUAGAGUUGGAACCGUUUUGACGUUUUGAAAAAUGUUUGGCAAAACGGCUUCUCCUAUUUUUCAUGAAUAAUGUCCAUUAUACCCCUCGCUAUCUAACUUCAUUGUAGCGAUUUCAUCUAAAAUAAAAAUGAUUAAUUAGUAUGAUUAUAGAUUAACAAUAAUCUACUUUUUCCUUUUCAUUUCCUUUUCUUUUUAUUAUUUUAUUCUCUCUACCCUUGUAUUUUUUUAUUUUUUUCUCACCUUUUAUUUUCUAUCUUCUCUCUCUCAAUCCAUCAUCCUUAUCCAAUGCUCGCUUCCUCCACCGCACAAGAAUGCUCCUCGGCCCUCGCUCUUCUCUGCCUUGUUGGCCGCUGCCGGCCUGCCGCUUGCGGGCUGCCCCAUGCGCGCGGCUCUGGCACCACCACGUUGCUCUGCUGCUGCUCCACCGCCCAUCUGCAUAGCAGCUGGUGCUCCACCCCUGCAGCUCCUUCAUGCUGUGUCCCUGCUGCUGCUCCACCGCCGUUGGCCGUUGCUCUGCUCUGUAGGCGUCGUGCCGGCUGCUCCAGCUCAGGGGCACCACUUUAGCCCCUGCACGAUGCUCCCCCGAAGCCGCAUGGCCCUAACGGCGACGCAACACUUCCCCAACGGCCCAUGACCCGACGCCAUGCGCUUUGCUGCCGUUUGUGGCAUUUUUAGGUGAAAUAAUCACCAACUCAAAAGGGUAUUCUGGUACGUGCUGGUGUGGGGACGGAGAGGAGCCGGAGGGAGCCAGUAUUUUUGGCUCCACCCCCUAGUUCAAAACCGGCUCCAGCUCCAUCGGUGCUUCAACAGAGGAGCUGCUACCUUUUUUUUUCAGGGCUCUAGCAGAAGCCACGGCGGAGCCCCACCAAAUUGGCCCUUAAUACUCUCCACUUGUUUGUCCUUUCUUCUUCUUUUUUGGAAGAGUUUGUUUGUCCUUAUUGACUUCCAUGGUUGGAAAGUUAGAACUAGGGUCACGCAAGCUGCGAGAACCGCCCUUUUGCCCAAGGUGAAAGGGUGACCAAGGCUUAUCGAAGGGGUAACUCGCCCAGGGGCAGACCCAGUAGAGGUACAUGGGUGUACAUAUGUACACAAAAAAUUUAUCUAGUACAUAUAGGUAUAUCCUAAUAUGUAAAAGUGGGUCAAAACGUGUCUGUCUGAGCCGAAACAAGAAAAACACGCUUGUGGGCCGGCUGUUUGCUCGGCUUGUUGCCUCACGACGUGAAUCCCCUUCUCUGUGAUCCCCGACGUCGUGAAUCGUGAUCCCCAUGCCUCCUCUCCUCUCUCAACUUCUCAUCCAUUUUCUAGUUUGCUGCCGCUAGUGCUAGGGUUAGCUUCCUUCCUUGGCCAUGGUUGUCCCCAUCCAUCGGUGCCUGCUAUAUGGAAGAGGAGCGCAAGAGCAGAGGGCUGAUCUGACAUGGGGUUUGUGCGCCAUGCCUUCUGCACAGCCGGCCAUAGCAAGGGCGGAACAAGUCACAGCGUGACAUCAACGGCCAUGGCAAGUGUGGAAGGGUCGGAAGCAUCGCCGGCCCCAGCAAGCACAAACACAGAGGAGGCAGAGCCCAUAUCGAGGGCAUUUUGCUUUGUUUGCUAUCAGGGAUACAAAUUCUAAGGGUGGAAGGGCCUGUUUGGUUUGAGUUGCUUAUUAUAAGCAACUUAAAGUUGUUUAUUUGGAGUUGCUUAUUUUUAGUCUAGCUGUUUGGAUACCCUUGCUUAUGAGCAUUGAAUGAGAUGGACAUUGUCAUAUUUGCCCCUUAUGUUGCUACCCCUCUUUUUUGCCUCCCACACUUCUUCUUCCUGCACACGCCCGAUCCCGGGGGCCGGCAGCGGGCAGGGAGCAGCAGCAGCUGGCCGGGGCGACGGUGGGGCGGGAGUGGCGAUGGAGCGGCGGCGGUGGGGCGGGAGCGGCGGGCGGCGGCCGGGGGCGGCGGCCGGGGGCGGCGGCCGGGAGCGGCAGCGGGUCUGCGUGGAGGCGGGUGGCGCGGAGGCAGGCGGCGGGCGGCGCGGAGGUGGGCGGCGGCGGGUGGCCCGGAGGAAUGGGAGCUGGUGAGUGGUGACGGGGGAGGGGGGAGAGAGAGAGAGGUAGAGUGCAUUGAACGAGGGCAGGAGGUGUAAAGUGCCCCUUUUAGUCCCCAUAAGCAGCUCUUGUGUUGCUUAUGGGCUAAAAAUAAGCAACCCCAUAAGCAAGAGUGAUUAGUUUCAUAAGUAACUUAUUUGCUUAUGCAUAAGUAUGUGAAACCAAACAGGUCCGAAAUAGUUUUCGGCUUUGAUUUUUGUGAAGAACAAGCUAAGAAAUAACACGAGGGGCGCUUCAAUAUUUAAAUGAUUGUUUGAUUACAUUUAUCGAGAAGGAACUUUCCUACAACAGACAUCAUCUCCCGUUUCCAAAAGCUGCCUCAUCGAGUUAAUUUGUAAUUUUUUAUAAGUUGAUGGUUUCAAAAUAUUGUAUGAAUACUAGAUUAAGGAACUAUUUAUACUAUACCAUGUAGCCUUUAACCUUUAUUUUCAUGAACCUUUAUCUUUUAUAUGCGAUGAUUGUUUGGUUCGUCACUAUGUAUACACACUCAAUCUUGAAUUCCUGCGCCUGCCACUGAACUUGCCCAUGCGGUCCUCUUGGAAGAAAGAAUUCAGCAGUGCGAUUAUUUGGACAUCCCAAUAAGCAGGCACUAGUGGUGUGACUUUCAAGAGGUUUCGCGGCACGGAUUCAUGGUAGCAAAUGGGAGCAAGGAUGCGUAGGGAGCAAAUAAUUUAUUACAUCUUGAAGUCAACUAAAAUAAAAAUGACGUGUAGAGAAGUAAUUUAUGGUUAGUAAAACUCGGUUUUUUGUCGUUGAAAACUCUCGAGAAAUUAUUCACCCGCAUUACUUGUUUCCUUUCACAAAUUUCCCUUCCUUCAAGAAGGUAGCCCCUGGCGGAUGUUUGAAUUUGUUCGGCUGCGCUGCAGGUGUUUUGCGUGCGCGUAUGCUCGGUCCGUGUGUUUCUCUAGAAAAGAUUGGCAUGCGACAUCGUAGUGCCUUUUACAUGGGACUCGGGCCGAUGUGGAACGGAAAGCCGAGAGCCACGAGUUGGUCAUCAAGAGAGAAUGACCCGGAUGGCCGCAGAUCAGGUGAGCAUUGAGAAUCGUCGUCUCGGAUCCUCGUCAGGUGGUCACGGUCCGUGAGGUCUGUGGACCACAGUGUCUGGUAGGUACUCCGUGCGGCGGGGCCUGGCUGCUUCGGCGCGCGUGCCAAGUGCCGGUCCGCGCCGCGUCACGGGCACCGACCGCGUCCCCGGCUCCCGCUCCGAGCCGAGUCAGCGCCACGCUGCUGCUGACACUUGAUGUCAAAACGUACGGGAGGGAGGGAGGGAGGGAGGAGGCGGCUCGAUGGCAACUCCGGCGGUGGGAGCCUCAUCCACGGCUUGUGUUGAUAGACGAUGCAAAAGCAGGGGAUCAUCAUCACACAUCUAAGCACCAAUCGGAUCAAAACAACAAAGUUUGUGAUGAUGUAAACCACAUUAAGCCGAGAUCACAGCACCAUCCGUACAUCCACGGUAAAAUGCGGAGUCAGAGAUGGACCAGAACGGGGUCGCGCGCUAAAACCGGAACCCCGUCCCGCUCCUCCUCGACAACGACUACCACUACCAGUCUACUACUACUAUGUACACGCGGCGCCGGCGAGUUCCUCGUCCCCGCGGCGGCGGCCUACUGGCCCUAGGCGGAGCGCGCGAGACGGGACGCGAUGGCGGAGUGGUACAUGGCGUCGUGGAACGACUCCGUCUGCGCCAUCCGCGCCCGCAGCUCGCGGGCCUUCUCCUCCGUCAGCCCCCCCACGAACUGCCUCCGGGCCGCCGCCGCGCCGUCCUGCGCCACCGCCACCACCGGCGCCGGGGCCUCCAGGUAGUCGGCCUUCCCCGACCACCCCACCAGCGGCGCCCACCACUUGCCGCCGCCCUCCGCCGACCCGGCGGCCGCGCGGACCACCCCGGCUCCUGCCGCGGCGCCGCGGGGCCGGAAGACGGCUGCGCCACCCGCCGGGGUGGCGGGGAACGAGACGGCGUGUGAGGACGGUGCCAUCGCCAUUGGAUCUGUGUUGGUUGUUUCUCUUGCCCUGACCGGGUGCAGUGCAGUUGCUUGAUUGCUUUUUGCUUGAAGGGAAACGAGGAUGGAUGGAUGGAUGUCUAUGGCUUGGGGACGGUGGGGAACUUAUAGCGAUCGGAGCGGGGAGGGAAGGGAAGCGAUGGGGACGACGAGCGAGCGGAUAAGACCGCCGCGUGGCCACGCGGCGUCGAUCCCUGCACGGGUCCGUUACGCGUCGCACGGCCUCAUGGGCCGUGGUACACCUGUACUCCUGUACAGCGAACGACGGUUACCCUGCCAAUAAUUGCUCCUCUGCAAUAACCGCUUUCCUGAGCCACCGACAGCUGCCGUUGUUUCUUUACUUUCCUGAGCCACCGACAGCUGGGCCCGUCCAGGUGGUGGCUAAUAGGGGGCAGUGGUCUCUUUUGGCCGUUUCAUUGCCGUGACGGUGGUGCCAGCUCGAGCGGUUAAUGGUUGUUGCCCCACGCGAUAGGAGUGCGUAAACUAUCGUCGGACGUCGGACGGGGCUAGCAUCGGACGCAUCACUUUGUUUAUUCUCUCCUGCAAACCGUGUGCGAGUGUCCGGGGAUAGGUCCGCGUUAUAACGUUCUACACGUUUUUCUUUCUUAAUACAUAUAAAGAUACGUAGCUUUCCUGCGUAUUUACGAAAAAAAAUUCUCUCCACACAGCUCUUAGUGCAAGCACGCACCUACCUCUUCUACCCGCAUCAGCUAUGCCAUGAAAAUAGCUGCUGCAGCGUAUGCACGGGAGAUAAGGUAAGGCGGCAGGGGAUCUCUGAAUCAAGCGAUCUGACCACGGUUCCUGAGCGUUGUGGAGGCAACAGCCUUGGCACAGCCCUGGAGGUGGACGAGGCGCACGACCUCGGCGGCAUCUGCCAUUCUAAACAUCAGCAGGACAGAAGCUGCGAGGAGUACUGGAUAGGGGAGCAAAACAAGAAGAGGAUAAAGUUGACCGACCAAAGGAGCAGCGAAGGGUCAUGUGGAUGGAAUCCUGGUCAAGGUUCAUCUGCUGAGGGUGAGGGCGAAUCUGUGAUGCACAACCAAAUGCUGAUCAUUUUGAUACGCAGUAUGUAGCUCAGCAACUGUACACUGUUUCGUAACCAAAUCGCAGAGCAAAUCUGUGGUGAUUUUCGAGUAUGCAUGGCGCAUCACUGAUUGAUAAAUGGGUCAUGGACAUCGACACGCGUCGAGAAGCAACAACGGCCAAUUAUUGGGCAAGAUGAGGAUGAGGGGUGCCGAUUAGGCCAGGCCCAACCUAAGCCCAAUCAUCAAUCAAGAUCAGCCAAAUCCAAAUGUACCAAACCGGAGCUAAACACAUUUUGACAGGAGGAAUCAACGCGACAACGGAGGAGCAUCAAAUUGGCAGCAACAAUGUCUGAGAUCCAAUUUCAUCAGGAGUAGCAGUACAAAGUUUGCAACAACUUUUCGCGGAUCUGGCAUUUCAACGCAGACCGAAAUGAUUUGGGAACAACGUGCUCCAAACCAGGGAGGCGGCGAAGGGAGGUCACUUUUAAAACCAGAUCCCCCU